UAGAUUGAAGCCCGCUGGUUUGGGUUUUUAGUUGUUAACUAAAUGUUUAUGGGAUCGAGGCCCGUUGAUCUAGG
rnacentral:tRNA from 1 species